rnacentral:piRNA from 1 species
UAGAAAAUAAUAUCCAAUUGACAGCUCAGA